rnacentral:rRNA from 1 species
GGAGAAAAGCAGGGGAUCGAAAGACCUUAUGCUUUUGGAGCGGCCGAUGUCUGAUUAGCUAGUUGGUAAGGUAAUGGCUUACCAAGGCGACGAUCAGUAGUUGGUCUGAGAGGACGACCAGCCACACUGGGACUGAGACACGGCCCAGACUCCUACGGGAGGCAGCAGUGGGGAAUUUUGGACAAUGGGCGCAAGCCUGAUCCAGCAAUGCCGCGUGAGUGAAGAAGGCCUUCGGGUUGUAAAGCUCUUUCAGUCGAGAAGAAAAGAUUACUGAUAAUACCAGUAAUCCAUGACGGUAUCGACAGAAGAAGCACCGGCUAACUACGUGCCAGCAGCCGCGGUAAUACGUAGGGUGCGAGCGUUAAUCGGAAUUACUGGGCGUAAAGGGUGCGCAGGCGGUUACGUAAGUCAGAUGUGAAAUCCCCGGGCUUAACCUGGGAACUGCGUUUGAAACUACAAAGCUAGAA